rnacentral:rRNA from 1 species
UGAGUAACCUGCCCUGGACUCUGGGAUAACCCCGAGAAAUCGGAGCUAAUACCGGAUAGGACCUGGAACCGCAUGGUUUUGGGUGGAAAGUUUUUCGGUCUGGGAUGGACUCGCGGCCUAUCAGCUUGUUGGUGAGGUAAUGGCUCACCAAGGCGACGACGGGUAGCCGGCCUGAGAGGGUGACCGGCCACACUGGGACUGAGACACGGCCCAGACUCCUACGGGAGCAG